CCUACGUGUGGCAGCAGUGAGGAAUAUUGGUCAAUGGGCGGGAGCCUGAACCAGCCAAGUCGCGUGAGGGAUGACGGCCCUAUGGGUUGUAAACCUCUUUUGCCGGGGAGCAAAGUGCCGCACGUGUGCGGUUUGGAGAGUACCCGGAGAAAAAGCAUCGGAUAACUCCGUGCCAGCAGCCGCGGUAAGACGGAGGAGUCGAGCGUUAGCCGGAGGUAGAGGGGUUAAAGGGUGCGCAGGCGGAGGUGCAAGGCCGCGGUCAAAUUGCGGGGCUCACCCCCGUACUGCCGUUGAAACUGCAUCCCUUGCGUGCGCGAGAAGUAUGCGGAAUGCGUGGUGUAGCGGUGACAUUCAUUGAUAUCACGCAGAACUCCGCUUGCGAAGGCAGCAUACCGGCGCGCAACUGACGCUCAUGCACGAAAGCGUGGGUAUCGAACAGGAUUAGAUACCCUAGUAGUC
rnacentral:rRNA from 1 species